rnacentral:rRNA from 1 species
CGGCUCCGCUUCAGGAUGGGCCCGCGUCCCAUUAGCUGGUUGGUGAGGUAAAGGCCCACCAAGGCAACGAUGGGUAUCCGGCCUGAGAGGGUGAACGGACACAUUGGGACUGAGAUACGGCCCAAACUCCUACGGGAGGCAGCAGCUAAGAAUCUUCCGCAAUGGACGAAAGUCUGACGGAGCGACGCCGUGUGAAUGAAGAAGGCCGAAAGGUUGUAAAAUUCUUUUGCAGAUGAAGAAUAAGAAGAAGAGGGAA